GACGAACGCUGGCGGCGUGCUUAACACAUGCAAGUCGAACGGGAUUUAGUAGACAGAAGCCUCGGCUAAAGAUUACUAAUGAGAGUGGCGAACGGGUGAGUAACGCGUGAGCAACCUGCCUAUGACAGUGGGAUAGCCUCGGGAAACCGGGAUUAAUACCGCAUAAAAUCGUAGAAACACAUGUUUUAACGGUCAAAGAUUUAUCGGUCAUAGAUGGGCUCGCGUCUGAUUAGCUAGUUGGUGAGAUAACAGCCCACCAAGGCGACGAUCAGUAGCCGGUCUGAGAGGAUGAACGGCCACAUUGGAACUGAGACACGGUCCAAACUCCUACGGGAGGCAGCAGUGGGGAAUAUUGCACAAUGGGGGAAACCCUGAUGCAGCGACGCCGCGGGAACGAAGAAGGUAGUCGUAUCGUAAAGUUCUGUCCUAUGGGAAGAUAAUGACAGUACCAGAGAAGAAAGCUCCGGCUAAAUACGUG
rnacentral:rRNA from 1 species